UACGGAGGGUGCAAGCGUUAUCCGGAUUCACUGGGUUUAAAGGGUGCGUAGGAGGGCAGGUAAGUCAGUGGUGAAAUCUUCGAGCUUAACUCGGAAACUGCCGUUGAUACUAUCUGUCUUGAAUCCCGUGGAGAUGAGCGGAAUAUGGUCAUGUAGCGGUGAAAUGCUUAGAUAUGACAUAGAACACCAAUUGCGAAGGCAGCUCGUUACACGAAGAUUGACUCUGAGGCACGAAAGCGUGGGGGGAUCAAACAGG
rnacentral:rRNA from 1 species